rnacentral:tRNA from 1 species
AGGAGUGUAGCUCAAUUGGCAGAGCGUCGGUCUCCAAAACCGAAGGCUGUGGGUUCGAUCCCCUCCACUCCUG